rnacentral:rRNA from 1 species
CCUACGGGAGGCAGCAGCGAGGAAUUUUGGGCAAUGGGCGCAAGCCUGACCCAGCAACGCCGCGUGGGGGAUGAAGGCCUUCGGGUUGUAAACCCCUUUUGCCAGGGACGAUAGUGACGGUACCUGGCGAAUAAGCCUUGGCUAACUACGUGCCAGCAGCCGCGGUAAUACGUAGGAGGCGAGCGUUGUCCGGAUUUACUGGGCGUAAAGCGUGUGUAGGCGGGAGAGCCAGUCUCCUGUGAAAUCUCCCGGCUUAACUGGGAGGGGUCAGGAGAUACUACUCUUCUUGAGGGCAGCAGAGGGAAGUGGAAUUCCCGGUGGAGCGGUGAAAUGCGUAGAUAUCGGGAGGAACACCCGUGGCGAAGGCGGCUUCCGGGGCUGUUCCUGACGCUGAGACGCGAAAGCGUGGGGAGCAAACCGGAUUAGAUACCCGGGUAGU